CCUACGGUGUGCAGCAGUGAGGAAUAUUGGUCAAUGGCCGUAAGGCUGAACCAGCCAAGUAGCGUGAGGGAAGACUGCCCUAUGGGUUGUAAACCUCUUUUAUGCGGGGAUAAAGGUGUCCACGUGUGGAUGUUUGCAGGUACCGCAUGAAUAGAGACCGGCUAAUUCCGUUCCAGCAGCCGCGGUAAUACGGAAGGUACGGGCGUUAUCCGGAUUUAUUGGGUUUAAAGGGAGCGUAGGCCGGUCUUUAAGCGUGCGAUGAAAUUUUGUGGCUCAACCAUGAGAGUGCGGCGCGAACUGGAGACCUUGAGUGCGCGGAAGGCAGGCGGAAUUCGUGGUGUAGCGGUGAAAUGCGUAGAUAUAUGGAAGAACACCAGUGGCGAAAGCGGCUCUCUGGUCUGUAACUGACGCUGAGGUUCGAAAGCGUGGGUAGCAAACAGGAUUAGAUAUCCUUGUAGUC
rnacentral:rRNA from 1 species